rnacentral:rRNA from 1 species
CUCAAUCACAGGGAGGUAGUGACAAAAAAUAACAAUGCAGGGCCUUUUGGUCGCUGCAAUUGGAAUGAGUACAAUUUAAACCACUUAACGAGUAUCCAUUGGAGGGCAAGUCUGGUGCCAGCAGCCGCGGUAAUUCCAGCUCCAAUAGCAUAUAUUAAAUUUGUUGCAGUUAAAAAGCUCGUAGUUGAAUUUCGGAGGAGAGCCCCCGGUCUCGGUUCUGCCGUGUACUGGGCCCUUCGAAUCUUUUUUCUGGGGAAGCGGGGUGUCCUUCACUGGGCGCUCCGGGGAACCAGGACGAUUACCUUGAGAAAAAUAGAGUGUUCAAAGCAGGCGAUUGCUUGAAUACGUUAGCAUGGAAUAAUAAAAUAGGACUUUGGUUCUAUUUUGUUGGUUUAAGGAC